rnacentral:rRNA from 1 species
UGCUCGAGUGGCGAACGGGUGAGUAACACGUGAGUAACCUGCCCUUGACUUUGGGAUAACUUCAGGAAACUGGGGCUAAUACCGGAUAGGAGCUCCUGCUGCAUGGUGGGGGUUGGAAAGUUUCGGCGGUUGGGGAUGGACUCGCGGCUUAUCGGCUUGUUGGUGGGGUAGUGGCUUACCAAGGCUUUGACGGGUAGCCGGCCUGAGAGGGUGACCGGCCACAUUGGGACUGAGAUACGGCACAG